rnacentral:lncRNA from 1 species
AUGAAAAGGUUAUUUAUGAGCCACAUUAAUUGAACACUUCUGUCCUUGUCCCAGAUGACCCGAAAGAUGAAGCUUCGUGGCCAGGAGAACAAAACCGCUGUGUUUGUAGGGACAGUCACAGAAGAUGUAUGGAUUCUGGAAGUACCCAAGCUGAAAGUGUGUGCACUGCAGGUGAGCAGCCAGGCCCAGGGCCGGGGUCACUGUGCUCCUGUCUGGUCUUUGGAUGGGCUGAGAGGUGUACCAACAUUUUGGGAAGGAACCCCACACAGUCCCACCAAACCCUAUGUCCAUUCCAAGGGCCAGAAGUUCGAGGGAACCAGAGGCCAAAGAACCAGCCGAGGGUACAAA